UUUUCCUACGGGAGGCAGCAGUGGGGAAUAUUGCACAAUGGGGGAAACCCUGAUGCAGCGACGCCGCGUGAAGGAAGAAGUAUUUCGGUAUGUAAACUUCUAUCAGCAGGGAAGAAAAUGACAGUACCUGACUAAGAAGCCCCGGCUAACUACGUGCCAGCAGCCGCGGUAAUACGUAGGGGGCAAGCGUUAUCCGGAUUUACUGGGUGUAAAGGGAGCGUAGACGGCUGCGCAAGUCAGAAGUGAAAGCCCGGGGCUCAACCGCGGGACUGCUUUUGAAACUGUGUAGCUAGA
rnacentral:rRNA from 1 species